ACCUAUUAUGAGUCGGUCGAGCUUGUCUGGCGCGAUGGGGCCAAUGCCAGUCGUGCGCCUGGCCGCCUGCGCUGCCCCCCCCCCCCCCCCCCAAAACACGUGCACUCCGAUUCUAAUCCGCUCGCCAGAUGCAAGUUGUCCGGCCCCCCUCCAUCAGCGCCACGGCUCACCCCUGAGCUAUGCCCUUGCAUAAUUACUAACAUGAUAUGCAUGCAGAUUUGGGGCCCAGCCUAGUUCGGGCCAGGUUGGGCAUACGGUACUGCAGCUGCCCAGCAGGAUUCAGCCGUUCCACAGUUGAACAGCAAGCCGAACGUCCGAAACCCCUGCAACUGCUAACCUUAAUGAUUUGGCCUAUCAGACCCAACACGUACAGGGUCCGCCCUUGCAGUUGCCGCAUGGUUCUGGCACCAGGUACACGAUGCACUGCCUGAUUGCUAACGCCCACAUCCUCUCACUGCCUGCGCGCUACUAGCUUGCUCCUCUGCUCGGUAGACUUGCCAAUGUAAACGUGCUUGUUAAUACACAACCGUAGACGUCAAUACGCUCUCAAGUCCUACCCACGAUCACCAACCUUCACAGCCCAUCUUAGCUAGCAUUCGUCCUCGAUAGCUCCUGUGGCCACUGCUGCGCACGCGCACUCCAGUGUCCGAUGCAAGCCCUUAGCUCUNNNNNNNNNNNNNNNNNNNNNNNNNNNNNNNNNNNNNNNNNNNNNNNNNNNNNNNNNNNNNNNNNNNNNNNNNNNNNNNNNNNNNNNNNNNNNNNNNNNNUGUUACGCAAUUGGAAAGGAUUGGGAGCAAUCCCAGCCAUUGGAACAGCUUUGAGAAGACAAAAGGGGGGCUCCAGGGACGGACAACGUUUGUUUGUGAAAGAAAUUGCAAGCUUCGCUCGCAUAGGGGCGGUAGGUAUACCCGUAGUAGAGCCAAUCCUUAAUACAUAAUAUGCAUCCUGGGGCAGUUGCUUGGACUAUACCUCGCCCCCGAGUGCGCUUUGUAGGGACGACUUUUCAAAGUCAUAGUUUUGUGCCACCGGCCCAACCCGGGCCGGGGGCUCAGUCAUUUUUUAGGGGGCCGGGGAAAGAAGUCCCGCGCCUUUACGCAGGGUAGUCCAUUUUUUCCAGUUUCAGCGCCCAGCCUGUUGGGGGGGCGGGGGAUACUUUAAGCAAGAAAUAUCCCUUGUCAACUAGAUAGUACAAAAUGCUAGACAAUUCCUAGGAAGAAGGGGGGGGCUCCCUUUUUAAAUGAGCCCCAGAGCCAUGGGGGGGGGGGCAGGCUUACAUAAGCAGUUUGCCCCAGUUAUGGGGGAAGCCCCUAUUAUGAGUCGGUCGAGCUUUUUUGGCGCGAUGGGGCCAAUCCCAGUUGUGCGCCUGGCCGCCUGGGUUGCCCCCCCCCCCCCCCCCCAAAACACGUGCACUCCGAUUCUAAUCCGCUCGCCAGAUGCAAGUUGUCCGGCCCCCCUCCAUCAGCGCCACGGCUCACCCCUGAGCUAUGCCCUUGCAUAAUUACUAACAUGAUAUGCAUGCAGAUUUGGGGCCCAGCCUAGUUCGGGCCAGGUUGGGCAUACGGUACUGCAGCUGCCCAGCAGGAUUCAGCCGUUCCACAGUUGAACAGCAAGCCGAACGUCCGAAACCCCUGCAACUGCUAACCUUAAUGAUUUGGCCUAUCAGACCCAACACGUACAGGGUCCGCCCUUGCAGUUGCCGCAUGGUUCUGGCACCAGGUACACGAUGCACUGCCUGAUUGCUAACGCCCACAUCCUCUCACUGCCUGCGCGCUACUAGCUUGCUCCUCUGCUCGGUAGACUUGCCAAUGUAAACGUGCUUGUUAAUACACAACCGUAGACGUCAAUACGCUCUCAAGUCCUACCCACGAUCACCAACCUUCACAGCCCAUCUUAGCUAGCAUUCGUCCUCGAUAGCUCCUGUGGCCACUGCUGCGCACGCGCACUCCAGUGUCCGAUGCAAGCCCUUAGCUCUACAAGAAGGUGGUGUUUACUCCAGCUCGAAGUUAAGGCCACGCACGUACAUUACCAUGUCCUCCGAGUAUCCCGGCCCGCCGUUCAUGGGCCGGAUAUCGCGCAGCGACUGGAGCACCUGUGCGAUGCACGGCAAGCACCGUUUUGGGAGGGCAGGGCAGCAGGUUACCGUACAAGUGCGAAAGCCAUUG
rnacentral:lncRNA from 1 species